rnacentral:rRNA from 1 species
UGUGGGGUGACGGCGUGCCUAUCGAAAAAUGAGUCUGCGAGUCAGUGGCGGGUGGCGAGCAUAAGCCGUGUGGCGUAUGCGUAGCGAAAGCGAGUCUUAAAAGGCGUUUUUAGUCGCUUGUCCUGGACCCGAAGCGGGAUGAUCUAGCCCUGGGCAGGUUGAAGCGCGGGUAAGACCGCGUGGAGGACCGAACCCACCUGGGUUGAAAACCGGGGGGAUGACCUGGGGCUAGGGGUGAAAGGCCAAUCAAAUUCCGUGAUAGCUGGUUCUCUCCGAAAUGCAUUUAGGUGCAGCGUCGGUCGAUUGCGUCGCGGGGGUAGAGCUACCGGAUGCUUGCGGGCCCUUGUUGGGUACCAACAGCAGCCGAACUCCGAAUACCGUUGACGUGUAUUCCGGCAGUGAGUCGGCGGGGGAUAAGCUCCGUCGUCGAGAGGGAGACAGCCCAGACCGUCGUCUAAGGUCCCGAAGCGUGUGCUAAGUGGGAAAGGAUGUGGAGUCGCAUAGACAGCCAGGAGGUUGGCUCAGAAGCAGCCAUCCUUGAAAGAGUGCGUAACAGCUCACUGGUCUAGUGGUUCCGCGCCGACAAUGUAGCGGGGCUCAAGCACACCACCGAAGACGCGGCAGCAAUCUUCAUGGUUGCUGGGUAGGAGAGCGUCCUGCGAGGGGCGAAGCGGCCGGGUAACCGUGCCGUGGACUUCGUGGGAGUGAGAAUGCAGACAUGAGUAGCGAGAGACGGGUGAGGAUCCCGUCCGCUGGAUGACCAAGGGUUCCGGGGCCACGUUCGUCGUCCCCGGGUGAGUCGGGUCCUAAGGCGAGGCCGACAGGCGUAGUCGAAUGGAUGAACGGGUGGAUAUUCCCGUACCGACCAUGGACCGGCAAAACCGAGACGGUGAGUACUAACCUCCGCCUCGUGGUGGUUCCUUCCUUCGGGUUGGUGUCGCCGCGUGGUGUUGGGAGCGUAGCCGCAGUAGGUCAGCGCAGGGGUGACACGGAAUGGGAGCCGGCCGCGGAGGUGGUUUUCCGUGGUCAAGCACGCAGCCAGUCAUGUAGGCAAAUCCGCAUGGCGCGCAUGGCGAGGUGUGAUGAUGGGAGCCGUUAUGGCUCGAUAUCCGGUUGUCCAGGCCGUCGAGAAAAGCCUCGGCGUGAGGGCCAUGGCCGCCCGUACCCCAAACCGACACUGGUGGUCAGGUAGAGAAUACCAAGGCGAUCGAGCGAAUCCUGGUCAAGGAACUCGGCAAAUCACUCCCGUGCCUUCGGUAUAAGGGAGACCCGCUGGGGUGAAGGACCUUGCGUCCGGAGCUUUGGUGGGUGGCACAGACCAGGGGGUAGCGACUGUUUACCAAAAACACAGGUGCAUGCGAAGGCGAAAGCCGCUGUAUAUGCACUGACGCCUGCCCGGUGCCGGAAGGUUAAGAGGAUCCGUCAAUCCCCUCGGGGACGAAGCGGUGAAUUCAAGCCCCGGUAAACGGCGGUGGUAACUAUAACCAUCCUAAGGUAGCGAAAUUCCUUGUCGGGUAAGUUCCGACCUGCACGAAUGGCGUAACGA